rnacentral:rRNA from 1 species
GACGAACGCUGGCGGCGUGCUUAACACAUGCAAGUCGAACGAUGAAGCGGUGCUUGCACCGUGGAUUAGUGGCGAACGGGUGAGUAAUACGUGAGUGACCUACCUUUGACUCUGGGAUAAGCCUGGGAAACUGGGUCUAAUACCGGAUACGACCAAUCUCUGCAUGGGGUGUUGGUGGAAAGCGUUAUGGAGUGGUUUUAGAUGGGCUCACGGCCUAUCAGCUUGUUGGUGAGGUAAUGGCUUACCAAGGCGACGACGGGUAGCCGGCCUGAGAGGGUGACCGGCCACACUGGGACUGAGACACGGCCCAGACUCCUACGGGAGGCAGCAGUGGGGAAUAUUGCACAAUGGGCGCAAGCCUGAUGCGGCGACGCCGCGUGAGGGAUGACGGCCUUCGGGUUGUAAACCUCUGUUAGCAUCGAAGAAGCGAAAGUGACGGUAGGUGCAGAGAAAGCGCCGGCUAACUACGUG